CACGGGGGGAGCAAGCGUUGUUCGGAAUCACUGGGCGUAAAGAGCGUGUAGGCUGUUCGGUAAGUCCGCUGUAAAAGUCAAAGGCUCAACCUUUGAAUGUCAGUGGAUACUGCCGGGCUAGAGUCCGGAAGAGGCGAGUGGAACUCCUGGUGUAGCGGUGGAAUGCGCAGAUAUCAGGAGGAACACCAAUAGCGAAGGCAGCUCGCUGGGACGUUACUGACACUGAGGCGCGAAAGCGUGGGGAGCGAACAGG
rnacentral:rRNA from 1 species